rnacentral:rRNA from 1 species
GACGAACGCUGGCGGCGUGCUUAACAUAUGCAAGUCGAACGGUGAAGCGCUUGCCUUUUUGGUGGGUGUGGAUGAGUGGCGAACGGGUGAGUAACACGUGAGUAACCUGCCCUCUUCUUCUGGAUAACCUCAUGAAAGUGGGGCUAAUACGGGGUAUUCCGGGUCUGUCGCAUGGCGGGUUUGGGAAAGAUUGCGCCUUUGGGUGUUUUCGGUGGGGGAUGGGCUCGCGGCCUAUCAGCUUGUUGGUGGGGUGAUGGCCUACCAAGGCGGUGACGGGUAGCCGGCCUGAGAGGGUGGACGGCCACACUGGGACUGAGACACGGCCCAGACUCCUGCGGGAGGCAGCAGUGGGGAAUAUUGCACAAUGGGCGCAAGCCUGAUGCAGCGACGCCGCGUGAGGGAUGGAGGCCUUCGGGUUGUGAACCUCUUUCGCCAGUGAAGCAGGCCUGCCUCGUUUGUGGGUGGGUUGACGGUAGCUGGAUAAGAAGCGCCGGCUAACUACGUG